GCCUAACGGUUCUGCUCAGCUGCCUAACGGUUCUGCUCAGCUGCCUAACGGUUCUGCUCAGCUGCCUAACAGUUUUGCGCAGCCAGUUUCUCCCAGGAGAGGCUGGAGUGUCCAAAAGCUUGGCCCGACUGCGAUUUCUACUGGUGUCAGGGCGGGUGCGGGGACUGAAGAAGGGCGAGGGCGAGCGGCGGGGACUGGGAAGGGCGAGCAGCGAGAGGCGCGGGCUCUCUCUAGCAGGUGGCUGCAGCCAUGGAGAGGCUCUCUGCCGCCGCUGUCAAGGGCGAGACGGACCCGGAGCGCCUGAGCCCCUUCAGUCAGCUGGUCUACACCAACAACGACUCUUACGUGAUUCACCAUGGGGAUCUCAGGAAGAUCCACAAAGCUGCCUCCCGGGGCCAAGCCUGGAAGCUGGAGAGGAUGAUGAAGAAGACGACAAUGGACCUGAACAUAAGAGAUGCGAAGAAGAGGACUGCUCUACACUGGGCCUGUGCCAAUGGCCAUGCAGAAGUAGUAACACUUCUGGUAGAUAGAAAGUGCCAGCUUGACGUCCUUGAUGGUGAAAACAGGACACCUCUGAUGAAGGCUCUGCAAUGCCAGAGGGAGGCUUGUGCAAAUAUUCUCAUAGAUUCUGGUGCUGAUCCAAAUAUUGUAGAUGUGUAUGGCAACACAGCUGUCCAUUAUGCUGUUUAUAGUGAGAAUUUGUCAGUGGUGGCAAAAUUGCUGUCUUGUGGUGCAGACAUCGAAAUGAAGAACAAGGCUGGCCACACACCACUUUUACUGGCCAUAAGGAAAAGGAGUGAACAAAUUGUGGAAUUUUUACUGACAAAAAAUGCAAAUGCAAAUGCAGUUGAUAAGUUUAAAUGCAUUCAUCAACAACUUUUGGAAUAUAAACAAAAGAUAACUAAAAAUUCUCAAAAUAGCAAUCCAGAAGGAACAUCUGAAGGAACACCUGACGAGGCUGCACCCUUGGCGGAAAGAACACCUGACAUGGCUGAAAGCUUGGUGGAAAGAACACCUGACGAAUAGGAUACAGUGAAUUUCUCUUCAAAGAUUUUAGCCUGUAAACAUCCUUUAAAAUUCAAGAGGGGGAAGAUUAAGUACAAUGAGUUCUGAGUUCCUCAUCAAAGAACAAAUAUGUCAGUAUGUUCAGCUUCUCUGUACUUUGUUCUCCGUUUUAAAGUUUAACUUCCUCGUUCUUUAUGCCUCCUUGCCCCUAGUUUCAUUAAACAACCCCCUUCUAGCCUCUAACACCUGCUUUGUCUUUAGUCAUUCUUAGUCACCUGCUCUUGUCCUUAGUCAUCCUUAAACACCUGCUCUGUAACUGUCUUUCCCGCUGAAACUACUCACCCUGCUACUCCAGCUCAUACGCCUGCCCUCUUUGAAAUAGCCAAUCUGAAUUAGCUUAGAGUGUGCAGUCCAACCCUAUCCAAUAGGGAAAAGACACAACAGUAGGGACUUAGCUGCAUUAGGAAUAAGAACCCUUUCCCCUCCCUUGUCCGGUGUGAUCUUGCCAUUGCUCCAUCUGCAAGACCACUCUUCUAUAGAAGUAAAUUUGCCUUGCUGAAAAAACUUGUUGCUGGAGUGCUGAAUGUUCUUUGCGGCACCGAAAAUUUAUUUUCCACAAAUUUGGGGGCCCACCCAGCAUUCCCAUUCUCCUCUGGGGGAGGGUCCAGUCCUCUCCCGUGAGGAGGUGCACCCCGCUGCCUCGUUGCAGUGGCCAUAAAGAUAAGGAAUCAAGACUCAACUGGUGCGAUUAAUAAACCCGGGCCCUCAGCUACGUGGAAAGAAACAGGCCAGCAACUUUGGGGAAAGGAUCUUCACAUACCGUGGCGACCAGUGUGCUCUUGCCAUUGCUCCAUCCGCAAGACUCACACUUCUAUAGAAGUAAAUUUGCCUUGCUGGAGUGUUAACUUGUUACUGGAGUGCUAACUCUUCUUUGUGGCACCAAAAAGUUGUUUCCAACACAAAGCUGCACCCUUGGUGGAGGGAACAUCUGACGAAGUUCAAUGUUUGGGGAAAGCAAUAUCUGGAAAGAUUGAACAGUCAGCAGGAGGAAUACCUAGGAAAAUUACAAGGCCUAUGAAAGAAACAUCUGAGAAAUUUGCAUGGCCACAAGAAAGACCUACAAAGACCACAUGGGAGGAAAAAGAAACAUCUAUAAAGACUGAAUGCGUGGCAGGAGUAACAUCUAAUAAAAUUGAAGUUUAGGAAGAAGGAACAUCUAAGAUGAUUACAUGUCCUACAAAAAAACAGCUACAAAAGCAAGUACAAAUGGUAUACUGUUGAUGUGUUUGAUAUUUCUGGUACCCAAGAAGAAAUCUCUCAAGAUCUUACCUAACUUUUUGUAACUAAAGCAGCAUACAUACACAGGGAGUGGGAAAAUGUCUAGACUGAUUCAACUAGCUUAUCAAAAAUCUUGGAUGCAGUUCUUUCUUGUGAAAGAGCAAGGGAACUUAAAAAUAUCCCUGUGGGUCAGGCCCCGUGGCUCAUGCCUGUGAUCCCAUCACUUUGGGAGGUCAAGGCAGGCAGAUCAUGAGGUCAGGAGAUCAAGACCAUCCUGGCUAACACAGUGAAACCCCAUCUCUACCAAAAAUACAAAAAAAAUUAGCCGGGUGUGGUGGCGGGUGCCUGUAGUCCCAGCUACUCGGGAGGCUGAGGCAGGAGAAUGGCAUGAACCCGGGAGGUGGAGCUUGCAGUGAGUGGAGAUCGCACCACUGCACUCCAGCCUAGGCAACAGAGUGAGACUCAAAAAAAAAAAAAAAAGAAAAGAAAAAAAAAAUCCCUGUGAACAAUACAGCAAAAAUGAAACAAAUGAAAAAUAAGCUUCGUGUACUACAAAAGGAACUAUCAGAAGCAAAAGAAAUAAAAUCAUAGAGAAUCAAAAAGUUAAAAAAGAACAAGAGCUCUGAAGUGUGAGAUUGACUUUCAACCAAGAAGAAGAGAAGAGAAGAAAUGCCAAUAUAUUAAAUGAAAAAAUUAGGGAAGAAUUAGGAAAAAUCGAAGAGCAACAAAAGAAAAAGUUAGAAGUGAAGCAACUUGAACUGGCUCUCCGAAUAUACAAAAUAUGGAAUUGAAGACUAAGAAGUAAUUUGAAUCAGGUCAAUCGCUGGGUCCCACUCUGUCACCAAGGCUGGGGUGCAGUGGCACAAUCAUGGAUCACUGCAGCCUCAAACUCUGGGGCUCAAGCAGACCUCCUGUCUCAGCCUCCCAAGUAGCUGGGACCACAGGCCAUAUGAAAUGGAGGCAAUUUAUCAGUCUGAGUCUCCAGAACUCCUGAAUUUUUUGCCAAGGAAACUGGAGAAAGUCUCGUCCGGGUACCAACCAGGGAGAUUCUUUCUACAAAAGAAGGAACAGACACUGAAUGACUCAUUUCCCUUCCUCUAACAUGGAAGCAGAAUUAGAUACUCCUGCCAGCCUGACCCAAGUCUGUACAGGACAUCCUGAAAUGUCUUAAAGAUUCCCGGGUGAUUGUGAGAGGAUUCCUAGUGACCAUGGACUGAUGACCCUAUGUUGAUCCAGGCAGGAAAGACUCAAGCUGAUUCUAAGUAGAAAAUGGAACUGCCCUGGUAGAGCUCCAGAACCUGGAUCUAUGUGUGAUAUCACCUGUUCUGAUUAGCUAGCUCUUAGGUAAGAGAAA